rnacentral:misc_RNA from 1 species
ACCUGAAUGAUAGUACUAAUCUCACUUCUCUUAAUUCCAUAUUAUAUAGGAAAUGAAUCUGAUGAAAUCAAGCAUCCGCGAAGCUGUUCAAACAUCAAUUACCAAUAUAACAUAAAACUUCCUGGCUUAAUCCAGGGAAGAAUAAUAAAACAUCUUGUGAAAGCAUUAGCCUUUGAAAUGGUACAGGCCAACAUGUCACCAAAGUAGAGAACAAGAGCCGCAGUCACCAAAAGUGACUCCCCUAGAAAGAAACAGAGCAGAAAGAAUUAUAGAGGAAAGAAUUGGCAAGACCUUAAUGAAACAGAGAAAAUCAUACAUAAAAUACAUCUGAAAGUAUAGAAAGGAACUUUUAGAAAUUUAAGACCAUUGGCACAGAAAUGAAUAUCAGCUAAUAAUCACUUGUAAAAUGUAUAUUGAUGGCAAUAAAGCCACUACAAAGUACAGUGUUUGCCAGCAAAGACCUAAUAUUUUGCGUCAUCAAUUAAAAAAUCUUAAUCGUAUAAUUGCUUAUCAUCUUGAAUGUCAUAAUAGAAAAAAUGGAGCCACCAAGAAAUUAAUGCCAAAGGGCUAUUAUUACAAUUUCACAGAAAAUCAUUUUUUUAAGGUUUAACCAUCAAGUGUUGCAAUGGAUGCACAGUAAUGACGGCAAAGGCAAUAAAUGUACAUAAGGUGUCACAUGAAACUAAAUGAGAUAUUUCAAUUGUCAUGGAAUGUACAAACAUGCACCACAAGUUCUCAAAUGUAUACAUGGUCUUAGAGUCUUAAUUGCUGAAAUGAUGAAACCGAUGAUACUUUCAAAAGUGAUAAGAUUAUACGGACGAUUAUGAGGAUGCUUCACUCACCAUAUAUUUUGUCAGUAAACCAUAAAUUAAAGCAUGCAGCAAUGAUACAUUGUAAACCAUUUUCUGCAUGAUAAGGAACGCAUACUAGUUUUGUAAUAUAAUAAAAUUAUUAAAUCCAAUAUCCAUAAAACGGUUGGAAUAAACAAUAACCAUUAAAACAAAGCAGAACUAUUUUAGCACAGCCAUGCUACCUAUGGAAACACAUGAUAGAAAGGUAUCAAGUAGAUGCUGCACUAACUUCACAGCUGCAAAUCCAUGAAAGAGCACCCACAGUAAUUUUAAUGUUGUUUGCAUACCAGUACUAGAUGACAUGAACAGUGCUGCAUAUAAAACAAUGAAACUUAAGCCAAAUUAGCUGCCCAUGACCAAUUUGAAGAGGAAUGAGCAAUGUUGAUAUGGAGACUGCAAGCGUUGAUAAUGCCAUUUGAGACCAAAUUGUGCGCAUCACUAGUACCUUCACAUUCAAUUUCAUGAAAUAAAAAUGCUCUUGACAGCUGUAUCAACUUAGAGAACAUAACAGCAGGUAAUGUAACUGCACCAAGCAAAGCACCAGGUCUGAAAAUUCAUAUAUUACCCAAAAAUACAAAAAAGAAUGAAUGAACGAAAGAUAACUUAGUCUCACUAUCAAAUACAUCAUAUUGCACUAAAUAAUGUCAUUCUCAUCGCCAUUAGCUCGAGAUUGGCUCAAGAAGUCUCUGGAUCACUUGUUGACUACCGACUUUCUGGCAUAAUGGCAUGAAAUGACUAGCAAAACAAAGCAAAUAUAAAAAGCAAAGAUGGCUCCAGUUUAGUCCUACCUUAAUUAAACCUCAAUUCGGAAAACCCCAAAUACCUGGUUUUGAAUCGAGAAAUGGAAGAGAAUGUCUCGGCUGGAAUCUCGACGUAGAGGGCGAAGAGAGCAAGGAGAGAAAGAGCAACGCCGUGGAGGAGCAGAGAGAGGGGGAGAGAGAAGAGCACACAAUCGAUGAAAAGCAAAACCACGGCUCUCUCGCCGUUAAAGAACGGCGAGAGAGCGGAAAACGUGGCGGCUAAAUGAUCAAUCUGCUUGCUGGUUUGCAAAAUGGAGAAAAAUGGGAAGAAGAGAAUGGAAAUUCGAAAUGAAAUUUUGGUGAUUCAAAGAGAAGGGUAUUAGAAAUGGAAAACUGGUGGAAAUUGUUUCGGCGGGAAGCAUUUGUUU